GGACUAUAUAGUUUGGUAAUAAUUUGGUAAUGUGCAUUACGUUUCUCAAGACCACUUAAUCGGUUAAAAGAAAAAAAAAAGUAAGUUCAGUUUUUGAGACAGGCUGGUAUUUAUUUCCGACUUGAUUUUGUUGUUGUUUUUAUAAAAAAAAAUUGAUUUUGUCAAGAACAAUCAAAACUGAAAAGAAGUCAUGAUUUUGUCAGAACGUAUUGUUUUUGAAAACUAACUGGAUACAUAGUAGUUGAGUGAAGUUUCUCAAAAUCGUGAUAUAAAUUAAAUCUAUUAUAUCAGAAUUUCUGACAUCUUAUAAUACUCAUUCUAAAUUUUAAAAAACGAUUGUGACAAGUGUGCAGAGAUAUAAAAUUGUAAAUGAUGCGAAUGAAUAACCAGCAUGUAUAUAUAAAUAUCAGUAAUAUAAAACGUCCGAGAAAAGACGUGUGGAGUGUGAACUUAGAAUUAGUCUUAGAUGGACAUUUGAACCAAGUGACUUUAAUGCUUUUGUUGAUGAAAUUGAUUACGCAGAAUAUGAGAGGAAUAUAGACAUGAGUUUUGUAAAUUGACAAAGUAAUAUCAAUUUACUAGGUACAUAAACUAUUAUCCUGACCACUGAAAAGUGUGGUAUUUAAGAUUACUGAACAGUAAUGUGAAAACGAAGAACGUAAUAACAUUCCUUUCCAACAUGGAAAAAGACAGUGCUUUGUGGUGGUACCAAGUGUUUUUCUUUAUAAGCGUAAAUUAAAUAAGUUUUUUUUUUUUUAUCUCAACAGGUUAAUCUCACUGUAGAUAAAUAUCUGGUUGUCAAAAAAUGCUUUAGACCAUAUUUCUGGUAUUAUAGGAUGCACGUUUUUUUUUUCUAAAAAUAAUGCAAGUUCCAGGCCAGAAAGAAGAAUCAAUACUAUUAAAACAGAAGGCCCUUUUUUGAGGUAACCUUCUGUUUCAACAAUAUUUACAGAACUAUACCACUGCUUUAUUUAAAACCUAUACUUUUAAUUAUAUAGAAAUAUUCAACUAAAUAUCUUUUAAUCUAAAAAUUAUACCGGAGGAUGCCUUAUAUAUAUAUUAAUAUUAUAUCAGAAUUUGCAGGUGUACUAACAAGUGCAUCUUUUUUUUAUUUAGUUUCUUUUCUUUUACUUUCAACGUAGUGAAUAUAGUUGGAGGAAUUAGAUUUCUUUCCAGUUUUUAGAUUCGAUGAAGGAGCUUUGUUGAUUCCCAAAACUUUAAAAAAAUUCUCAUGAGUUCUUCCAUUCUUUUUUUUCGUCCAUUGUUCUACCAAUUAGUUAAAAAAGAGUCUCUUUGCUCUCUUAGCAACAAGAUUGAGAAAUAGGGAAACUUUGCUCUUCACCUUCUUCUCUUUUCUCUCUGUGACUUCUUUUUGCUGAUUCAUCUUUCUUUUUCUCACUGAUUAAGCUCUCAAGUCUCAGGUCUGUGUAUGCUCUUUCUUCUAGACACAUUUUUUGGGUUUCCACCUGAUUUACAUUGCUAGGAAAACAAAUGCAGACAUAUAAAAGUUUAAGAGCAAUUCUAUCUGAGUCAAUCACCGGCAGACGAACUCGUGUUGCCUAGCAUAUCAAAAGCUAUUCGAUCUAUUCUAUGUUCCAAUCAGCGUUGUUAUUCAGUUGUUAUUUCCUUGUGUGGUUUACGGUGUUCUUUCACUGUUAAGGUUUGUCUUGAUUUAUGUCCUGUCAUAGAAAGUUUUUUGUUGUGAAUUUCGUGUAAGGAGCUUUUGAAAGAAACAAUGCCCAAACAUAAGGCUGUAUUGAUCUGGUAUUUUAUUUCCUCAGAGGAGUGUUCGUCUCUGAUUGAUGGAGUUGAUGUGUUUGUAAAUUUUAAGGUGAGAAGUUAGUGCUGGAAAGAAACAUCACUUCCUCUGCAUUGUUUCCUUCUCAAAACAGUUAAGUGUUUCAGGUAAUGCACCAACAAAAGGAAAAUUAGCUCCAGUGAUUCUGCCGAGAUUUAUGUCAAUACUUAAACAUAUUUUGUAUAUAUAUGUCGAAUAAUCCUCAUCAUUAAUAUUUUUAAAUCGAUGAUUCUGUACAGCUAUUGUAAUAUUUAUUGUUAAAAAAAUAUAUUGAGAUCUUAA